rnacentral:rRNA from 1 species
AUUGAACGCUGGCGGCAGGCCUAACACAUGCAAGUCGAGCGGACGAUUGGAGCUUGCUCCUGGAUUCAGCGGCGGACGGGGGUGUAAUGCCUAGGAAUCUGCCGGCUGUUGGGGGAUAACGACCGCAAACGGGCGCAAAUACCGCAGGCUACCAUAGGGAGCAAGAUGGGGUUCUACUAAACGCACGCUUUCAGCUACGCCUUGGACGGAUUACCUAGGUGGUGGGGUAAAGGCCUCCCAAGGCGACGAUCCGUAACUGGGCUGAGAGGAUGAUCAGUCACACUGGAACUGAGCCACGCUCCAGCCUCCUACGGGAGGCAGCAGUGGGGAAUAUUGGCCAUUGGGCGAAGGCCUGAUCCAGCCCUGCCGCGUGUGUGAAGAAGGUCUUCGGAUUGUAAAGCACUUUAAGUUGGGAGGAAGGGCAGUAAGUUAAUACCUUGCUGUUUUGACGUUACCAACAGAAUAAGCACCGGCUAACUUCGUG